UUGUAUAUGGUGUAAUAAAACACAUUAGCUUUUCAUGCUAAAAUUAUAUUAAAUAUUAUGCACA
rnacentral:tRNA from 1 species